rnacentral:rRNA from 1 species
AGAGUUUGAUCCUGGCUCAGGAUGAACGCUAGCGACAGGCUUAACACAUGCAAGUCGAGGGGCAGCGGAGGUAAAGGCUUGCCUUUACCUGCCGGCGACCGGCGCACGGGUGAGUAACACGUAUGCAACCUGGCCGUCACAGGAGGAUAACCGGGAGAAAUUCCGCCUAAUACUCCAUAACACCGGAGGGAGACAUCUCCCACCGGUCAAAGGAAUUCAUUCCGGUGACGGAUGGGCAUGCGGCGCAUUAGCUAGUCGGCGGGGUAACGGCCCACCGAGGCGACGAUGCGUAGGGGUUCUGAGAGGAAGGUCCCCCACACUGGUACUGAGACACGGACCAGACUCCUACGGGAGGCAGCAGUGAGGAAUAUUGGUCAAUGGACGCAAGUCUGAACCAGCCAUGCCGCGUGCAGGAUGACGGCUCUAUGAGUUGUAAACUGCUUUUGUACGAGGGUAAACGCAGAUACGUGUAUCUGUCUGAAAGUAUCGUACGAAUAAGGAUCGGCUAACUCCGUGCCAGCAGCCGCGGUAAUACGGAGGAUUCAAGCGUUAUCCGGAUUUAUUGGGUUUAAAGGGUGCGUAGGCGGUUUGAUAAGUUAGAGGUGAAAUUUCGGGGCUCAACCCUGAACGUGCCUCUAAUACUGUUGAGCUAGAGAGUAGUUGCGGUAGGCGGAAUGUAUGGUGUAGCGGUGAAAUGCUUAGAGAUCAUACAGAACACCGAUUGCGAAGGCAGCUUACCAAACUAUAUCUGACGUUGAGGCACGAAAGCGUGGGGAGCAAACAGGAUUAGAUACCCUGGUAGUCCACGCAGUAAACGAUGAUAACUCGUUGUCGGCGAUACACAGUCGGUGACUAAGCGAAAGCGAUAAGUUAUCCACCUGGGGAGUACGUUCGCAAGAAUGAAACUCAAAGGAAUUGACGGGGGCCCGCACAAGCGGAGGAACAUGUG